rnacentral:rRNA from 1 species
UACGGAGGGGGCAAGCGUUAUCCGGAAUUAUUGGGCGUAAAGCGUCCGCAGGUGGCCCCUCAAGUCUGCUGUCAAAGCCCGGGGCUUAACCCCAGAAAGGCAGUGGAAACUGAAGUGCUAGAGUGCAGUAGGGGUAGAGGGAAUUCCCGGUGUAGCGGUGAAAUGCGUAGAGAUCGGGAAGAACAUCGAUGGCGAAAGCGCUCUGCUGGACUGCAACUGACACUCAGAGACGAAAGCUAGGGGAGCGAAUGGG